AACGAACGCUGGCGGCAUGCCUAACACAUGCAAGUCGAACGAGACCUUCGGGUCUAGUGGCGCACGGGUGCGUAACGCGUGGGAACCUGCCCUUAGGUUCGGAAUAACUCCCCGAAAGGGGUGCUAAUACCGGAUAAUGUCUUCGGACCAAAGAUUUAUCGCCUUUGGAUGGGCCCGCGUUGGAUUAGCUAGUUGGUAGGGUAAAAGCCUACCAAGGCGACGAUCCAUAGCUGGUCUGAGAGGAUGAUCAGCCACACUGGGACUGAGACACGGCCCAGACUCCUACGGGAGGCAGCAGUGGGGGAUAUUGGACAAUGGGCGGAAGCCUGAUCCAGCCAUGCCGCGUGAGUGAUGAAGGCCUUAGGGUUGUAAAGCUCUUUUACCCGGGAUGAUAAUGACAGUACCGGGAGAAUAAGCUCCGGCUAACUCCGUG
rnacentral:rRNA from 1 species